CUUACACUACUGAUUACACACACCAUUGUAAUUGUAUUUAGAUUACUUCAGUUAAAAUAUUUUGAUAUUCCUUAUCGCCACGUUGUCUCCCUUCGAGCCGGUUCGUGACAAUUAAAAUUACCAAUUUCUAUUUAAAUCAAACGAUUUCUAUAUUGUAAUAAAUAAUAUCCUUAAUUAACAGCGUUGGACUGUUAGAACCUGUUAUAACUACUUAGAACCUGCUAUAACUACUGCUUGCAUAAGUGUACACUGUUCCUCAAUACUCUUCGAUGUUACACACAAACACAUUCUGUACUCAACAGAUACUAACCACACACACACACCCAGAAACAGAUGGCUGACUCAAACGUUGCAUGACACUGUCAAAAAACGGGAAGCGCCCUGACCACAGACACUAACUGCUAGUUUCAGCAAUCACAUUCUCGUGACUCUCAAAACACACAGUCAUGCCUCUGUAUGAACACACACACACACACACACACACACACACACACACACACACACACACACACACACACACACACACACACACACACACACACACACACACACACACACACACACACACACACACACACACACACACACACACACACACACACACACACACCUCUCCCAAUGGGUUGGGUUUAAAGGACAAAGAACACUGCCAAGAACCAAUGGAGCAUCAACACCAGGUCAGGACGGGACCUUCCUCAACCCUCAUCGACCAGUCAGGAGAACAGAACUACUAGACUCAACCUACGUCAUUUCAAUGUAUAAAAUCUAAUGCACACUAUGUUUAGGGACUCUCUUCCGCUAGUUCCCUCUGAGCUAAACGAACGAGUCUGUGCACACUUUGCAAGAUAUCUUUGACUCUGAAUAAACUGCCUUUACUAUAUCUAAGUCCACCCUGUCCAGCGUCUUGACUUGGUCCCAUUCUCAUGUAAAUGAUCAUCAACAAUAUUCAAUUGAGAGCUAAUAUAUUUCAGCAAAAUGUGAUUUUUCAUAGAUAUACGUUGGUUAUGUAAUGUUCCAAAUUGCAUACUUGCGUUCUAUCUAGAGCGUAUAGCAAGUGCGUAAGUCAACUGUCAUUUUUCAAGUGCGAUUCCAAAUCUAAGAAAGCGAAACGGCAAGUAAUGUUCUAAUUUUCCAGGAAGUUCUAUUAGCAUACUAGGGAGGUUUGGAAAACAAAGCACGCAUGGGAGCAUACAUUUUCGUUCCCUUCGCCAGGGCAACACAGCGGAUAAAAACUUCUGAAUUAAUGGCGGACAUAAGUUCCCACUUGUGAGAAAAUGUUCCAGAGGAAUAUAUUUGUCAAAUGUUGAAGCACAUCGCACCCCACCACCCAGACAGAUGUAAAGAACUUGGGAACCUCCCAUCCACCAGGGAAAUCACCCAAUUCCAGGAGUUUAUUCAGGAGUUUAUUCAGCAGCGUGCAACGUCACUGUUAAAAGUAGACCCACACAUAUUAUUCUCUAUCAUGGAGAAUUGUCAGCUCAUUGUAACAUAUGAAGCUAAUUUACAAUAGACGUGGGUGAUUCUGCCCUAUGUGCAAGUUUUUAUUGCUGCCCAGCAAACAUGUUCAAUUAUUCAUUGUCUAAAAUUUAGACCGCAAUUAGUUGAAUGUGAAUAGGCUAAGGAUGGCAAUUUUAAAAAGGCCAUCAGACUGUUAAAUAAUGUUUACAUACUGUAUUUUAGUCAUCCUAAUAUUUAUAUAUUUCUUAAUUCAAUUAUUUUACUUUUAGAUUUGUGUGUAUUGUUAUGAAAUGCACUGUUGGAGUUAGGAACACAAGCAUUUCCCUACACCUACAAUAACAUCUGCUAAAUAUGUGUAUGUGACCAAUAACAUCUGCUAAAUAUGUGUAUGUGACCAAUAACAUCUGCUAAAUAUGUGUAUGUGAUCAAUAACAUCUGCUAAAUAUGUGUAUGUGACCAAUAACAUCUGCUAAAUAUGUGUAUGUGACCAAUAACAUCUGCUAAAUAUGUGUAUGUGAUCAAUAACAUCUGCUAAAUAUGUGUAUGUGACCAAUAACAUCUGCUAAAUAUGUGUAUGUGACCAAUAACAUCUGCUAAAUAUGUGUAUGUGACCAAUAACAUCUGCUAAAUAUGUGUAUGUGACCAAUAACAUCUGCUAAAUAUGUGUAUGUGACCAAUAACAUCUGCUAAAUAUGUGUAUGUGACCAAUAACAUCUGCUAAAUAUGUGUAUGUGACCAAUAACAUCUGCUAAAUAUGUGUAUGUGACCAAUAACAUCUGCUAAAUAUGUGUAUGUGACCAAUAACAUCUGCUAAAUAUGUGUAUGUGACCAAUAACAUCUGCUAAAUAUGUGUAUGUGACCAAUAACAUUUGAUUAGAAUGAGGUGUACUAAACACGCCUUGAAUGUUAAUCUCCUUGAUGUCCCUCACUUGGGGAUGCUAAAAUGUUUUUUCAUCUACUGAGCCAUUUACUUUAUGUUAGUAUUAUAUUUUUGGGGCGGCAGGUAGCCUAGUGGUUAGAGCGUUGGGCUGAGCUGACAAGGUACAAAUCUGUCUUUCUGCUCCUGAACAAGGCAGUUAACCCACUGUUCCCCGGUUGGCCAUCAUUGUAAAUAAGAAUUUGUUCUUAACUGACUUGCCUAGUUAAAUAAAGGUUCAAAUAAAAAAAAUAUUUGUAA